GUCAUUUUCACUUCCUGGAUGCACACAGCUGACAGUGCUGCACAAUGAAAAUACUCACUUUAUUGAGCUUAUUUUCCACAUAUUUAUUAGCAAAUGGCGUUAACAUCGAGGAUAGCGCAGGGCAAUUCUUCAGCAGUGGUCACACCAAUAACUGGGCUGUUCUGGUGUGUACAUCCAGAUUCUGGUUCAACUACCGUCAUGUGGCCAAUACUCUGUCUGUCUACAGAAGCGUUAAAAGACUGGGCAUCCCUGACAGCCACAUAGUCCUGAUGCUAGCUGAUGACAUGGCUUGUAACCACAGAAACCCGAAGCCAGCCACAGUGUUUAGCCACAAGAACAUGGAGCUGAAUGUGUAUGGAGACGAUGUGGAGGUGGACUACCGAGGAUAUGAGGUGACGGUGGAGAACUUCUUGCGAGUUUUAACUGGAAGGCUGCCGCCCAGCACUCCACGCUCCAAACGCCUCCUCUCUGAUGACCGAAGCAACAUCCUCAUAUAUCUUACAGGCCAUGGUGGAAAUGGCUUUCUGAAGUUCCAGGACUCGGAGGAGAUCAGUAAUGUGGAACUGGCCGACGCUUUUGAGCAGAUGUGGCAGAAAAGAAGGUACAACGAGCUGCUCUUCAUCAUUGACACCUGUCAGGGCGCCUCAAUGUAUGAGAGGUUCUACUCUCCAAACCUCAUGGCUCUGGCCAGCAGUCAAGUUGGAGAGGACUCCCUGUCGCAUCAACCAGAUUUGGCCAUCGGAGUCCACCUGAUGGACCGUUACACCUUCUACCUGCUGGAGUUCCUGGAAGACAUCCACCCUGCAAGCAAAGCCAACAUGAACGACCUGUUCAAAGUGUGUCCCAAGAGCCAGUGUGUGUCCACUCCAGGCCACCGUACUGACCUAUUCUUGAGAGACCCAGGAAGUGCCCUUAUCACAGAUUUCUUUGGCAGUGUCCGCAAAGUUGAGAUCACAAUGGAAACCAUCAACUUGACCAACCCUAUUGAGCCACUGGAAGAAAAUCCUGUGAAUGGAGAGCUGCAAACAGAGGUUACAUACUCAUACGUGGACCAGCUGCCAGUGUCUGAGAUCAUCCAUCAGAAACCCAAACAGAAAGACUGGCAUCCUCCUGAUGGCUUCAUCCUGGGGCUGUGGACCCUAAUCCUCCUGGUGUUUUUCAAGACUUAUGGCAUCAAGCACCUCAAACACAUCUUCUGAGGGCUCCAUGUUUACGUCGCUGGAUAUCAGAGGAUGUGGAGCUGAGGGAGACCAGGAGCCUGGACUGAAGGGAUAUUAGAGGGAAGGAGCAGUUUGUGACAGGCUUGUUUUUUACCCUCCAUGGAGCUGCCUGGCCAGAUAUGCUUACACCUCUUGACCGUCAUAUCAUGCUUGUGAAGGAUAACAACCCUACAUAAUACCAUAUCACAUGAUGGACCCAUCUACUUUACCAUUCACCAAAUUGCCCUCGUAGCUCUCUAGCUGUGUACUCCACUGAUUGUAUUCUGGCUGAUGGACAGCUAUUUCCCAGCCAUUCAACGUCUCAUGCUACAACAGCGAUAAGUGAGUGAUAACCUAGUAAGCUGCCAGCCAUCCCAAAUGAAUCUUCUCAUUGCUGGGACAUGUUUUCCUCCUUUUUUUUUUCUUUCUUUCUCUCCAUAUGUAACCACUUUACAUUAGGGCCAUUGUUGGGGGAAUGACUGAUGCUCAUGGCAUAUGGAUUGAACCGGUGGUAGUUUAUCUUUGCUCCCUUGGCGUGUGGACCCGCCCAUCGGGGUGCCCAGUGCCACUCUGCCUGGCGGCUGAUGUGGAAAAUAGAUGGAGCUGGAAAUGAAACCAUAUGUAUCAGAAGGCAGCUGCUGUGUCAGCCACUGUGUACCUUUUCUUAUACAUUAUUUAUGCAACACUUAUUUCCUCCUCCUGAUUCCUCCUUGUUUCUUAUUUCCUGUAAUCUUAUUCCUCCUGCUUCCCUUUUGGUGAGAGCUAGCACAUUUUAUUUCCUCAAUUGGUGAGAUUUUGAUGCCCUGAUUAAAGAUGAAAUACUGAAUCAAAGGAAUGAAUGUAUGUCUUUAAUUGCCUUUUUUUCCUUUUUAAGAAGAUGUUAAGCUUCCUUAAUUCCUCUCUAAUACUAUUUGAAGACACCAGAUCUGUUUUAUUGUUACAAAACCUUGAAGGUACAGUGCAUUCAGAAAGUACUUGAACUCCUUAUUUUCCUUUGUUCCUCAUCAAUCUACACUCAAUAUUCCAUAUUGACAAAGUGAUCUCUCUUGAUCAUCUUUAAGAUGUUUCUAGACCUUGAUUUUUACAUCUUGAUUGGAGUCUGCUUGUGGUAAGUUUAAUUGAUUGGACAUGAUUUGGGAAGGCACACACCUCUUUAUAUGAGGUCUUGCAGCUAACCAUGAAUAUCAGAGCAAAAACCAAGCCAUGAGGGCUUUGUUAAAGGUUCCUAAAAGCACUUUGGCUUUUAGAACCGCAGGACUCUUCCUCGAACUAGCUGCCCAGCCAAACUGAGCAAUCAGGGGAGAAGGGCCUUGGUACGAGAGGUGACUAAGAACCCAGCGGUCAGUCUGGCUGAGCUCCAGAGACCCUGAUUGAGAAGGGAGAA